CACUGAAUACCGUCAUGUGGGGAAACAGUCUGUGUUAAUUACAUUGGGAUACAGCAGUGCCUUGCUGCAGUUCAAGUCACAAGCUGGAAGAACUUCCUCCAUAUGUCGACUAUACUGAAUAGCAUCUCAUCUUCUCAAAGUUGCAUGUUUCUACAAAGAAGUCAAGGCUGUGGAACAGAAGAGAAUAAAGUGAAAUAAAGAGUUUCAAGGGUGAAAGAAGAUGACUGUGCCUGGUAUAAAGAAGCACUUCAUCAAGAAGCACUUUUAACUUUCCUCCCCCUAAUUUUUGAUUUUACAGAAAAUUUUGUAAGCAAGCAGGAGCUUUUUCUUUAUAGAUGAACAAACAGACAAAAAGCCUGCAUGAUUUGUUCAAGAUAAUAGGAAGAAUCUCUCAAGAGUGGAUAGAAGACUUUUGAAGGGGUGACAUUUGAAACACUGCACUGAGAUUACUAGGCAACACCCUUCAGUAUAAAAGCAUUAUACUUGAGUUUGCUUUUGAUAAGAUGAUAGAAGAUAUGAAGAGCCAACCUGAUUGUUCCCUGAGACUGGAAAAUCAGUUCCUUACAGCAUCAAGUGAAAAAACAUAAAGAACCUUGAUAAAGAGUAUAAGUCUGAGGAUUAACAAAAAAAAAAAAAAAAAAAUUUUUUUUGGUUGUUCUUGAAAAAUAGUUUACUGACUUUCAGUUCUGCAUGGUUGAAUCCUGGUUGCAAAAUAAAAGAGUUUCAAAAUACAUGA